AACAUCGCCUCUUGAUUAAGAUAGGAGGUCCAGCCUGCCCAGUGACUCUUGUUUAACGGCCGCGGUAUCCUAACCGUGCGAAGGUAGCGUAAUCACUUGUUUUUUAAAUAAAGACUAGUAUGAAAGGCACCACGAGGGCCAAACUGUCUCCUUUUUCUAAUCAGUGAAACUAAUCCCCCCGUGAAGAAGCGGGGAUUUAUUUAUAAGACGAGGAGACCCUAUGGAGCUUCAAACCUUGCAGCACCUGCUUUCCAUUUUAACCUCCCAGGAGCCUCACAAAUUUUAAACACACUGACUGUGAGUUUUUGGUUGGGGCGACCCCGGAGAAUAAUUAAUCCUCCGAAAUGAAAAGACCUAAUCUUUAGUAAAAAGUCACAGCUUUAUACAUCAGUAAACUGACAUGCAUUGACCCAAAAUUUUGAUCAACGAACCAAGUUACCCUAGGGAUAACAGCGCUAUCCACUUUGAAAGUUCCUAUUAACAAGUGGGCUUACGACCUCGAUGUUGGAUCAGGGUAUCCUAGUGGUGCAGCCGCUACUAACGGUUCGUUUGUUCAACGAUUAAAACCCUACGUGAU
rnacentral:rRNA from 1 species